GAAGCUUUAAUUGUUCAUCAAGUUUGUUUUGGGUUAGAAACAAUGCAACAAUUAUUACAUUUUUAUUCUCUUCCAAAUAUUCUUGUCCUUUAUUUAUAACCGAUCCAAUAAUACGAACUCAUUAACAUUAAUGUUUUUUAUCUCUGGAACCACCCUCGUUUCCACCCUAGACAUUCAGGUCUGGCUCAGCAGUAUCACUGUGAUCUUUUGGUGAAAGUUGUUAUCUUUGCCGUUCUUUGUUCCAUGCACCAUUCUUGGUUCUGGCGUGCACUUGCUCCAUUUGUUCCCUUGGUUUUAAUUUCACAACUUCAUCCUUCCAUUCAAAAUUCUUCAGGUGGAAUUAAUGUUGAUCUUGAGUUCAUAAUUAUUCACAAAUCAGUUACCCAUGGGAGUAGACAUUGAAUUCACAUCCUUCACACAUUAAAGACAAGACUGCUACAAGACUGCUAUCACUGAAUCAAAAUUUAGGUGCAAAAUAUAAAAAUGAACUGUCUAAAACAUGCAAGUUUUCUUUCUCUGGAUUGACUUCAGUGUCUCAAAGACACAAAUGAACAAGAUUUUUUUUCUGGCAAAGCUUGGCAGAGAUCUUGAAUUGAGUUUCUGCUGUGAUUCACUCUUCAGUCACCAGUGCUAAGUCACUGUACAUUUAAGCAAAGGUUGGACCUAUGCAAUGCGAGAACAGGACACCAGGAAUACAGGAGUAAGGAACUGACCUCCGUAAAUCAGGGCUUUUGUUUUACAUAAGCAUAUCCUGGCGACGUUAGUUUUCAUUGUAUGUGACGUUUUGUCGGCUGGUUAGCUCUUAUGCCAACUAUUCCCAUUCCACCCCAGGGAAUUCAAAAUAGAAAACUUUCAAUCUUUCUCUAAACAAAAGCUUGAUCUUAAACUAAAAAGUCAAUGUCAGUAGGUCAUUGCUGUAAAUCCACUGCGGGAUAGGAUUGAUGUCACAGCUCCUCUCACAGUUGAGAAAUUCAGGACAACUUCAAAUAUCUUCCCACUGCUCAGUCAUUUUACGUCUUGCUAUUGGGGAGACAUCACAAUGACAUCAGCUGCAACAAAAGGAACAUUGAACAACAGGUUCUGAACCCCUUAUAUAGCAGAGCAUUUUCACAGUAAAAGUAUCAAACACAACUUCAAGCUGUGGGUAGAAACUCCUCAGAACUCAGGCUCAGGAACUGUGGAACUAACACCUUUGGUGGAUUGAUAAUAUGACUUCACUAAUCAUGGAGAGAGUAGGUUUUGUGACCAUCCUGUACAUCAUGGGCUGGAUGCUGCUUUGCAAUGGGAACCCCAUUGGUAAAAGAUCGGUGAGUGAGCAUCAGCAAAUGCAUGAUCGGAGUCGUUCUCAGGAAGAUACGAGGAGGCAGCAGUGGCUUGAUCAGAUGAUGAAGGAGUUGAACACAGCUGGGAUGGUCCAUUCUCGAGACAUGACUGCACUUGAGCUGCCGAGAUGGAUGGAAUUAACCAUUGUUUCCCCAAACCCCAGGAAGUAGGUAGAAACCAGACAGACAUCAUAGCAACAGGCUGUUGGUUUAUAGGAUGGACGGGAAACAUUCAGAUAUAAACCUUCUCAAAGGUUGACCAAUCUCAAAGUUCGAUUAACUGUAAAAUGUUGAAAGAUUUGAUGGACUUGCAGUAAGGCAGGUGCUGCUUGAACUGGCUAAAAGUAACCACUAGAAAUAUUUAACAAUAUGUUUAUUUUGUAGUAACUUUUAAAACAGUAUCCAGGAUGAUCUCUCUGUAAAUUACCCUGUGUUAAGAAAUUAUAAAGGUAUUUAUUCCACUAUUUAUGUAACUUAGUUUUUGAGAUUAAAUUUAGUCUAUAUUUUGACAUUUAUUGUAUUUCCUGUGGG